CUCCAAGGAUGGCAGCAGGCGCGAAAAUUACCCACUCCCGGCACGGGGAGGUAGUGACGAAAAAUACGGAUACGGGACUCAAACGAGGCUCCGUAAUUCGAAUGAGUACAAUUUAAAUCCUUUAACGAGGACCAAUUGGAGGGCAAGUCUGGUGCCAGCAGCCGCGGUAACUCCAGCUCCAAAAGCGUAUAUUAAAGUUGCUGCAGUUAAAAAGCUCGUAGUUGGAUCUGGGUUGUGCGUUCACGCGCCUUUACUUGUUUAUCAGCCUUGGUAAAUGCCCUGGCUGGUGUUCAAUUUGGUGUAGUGGGCGUGCUGCCUUUCAGCCGUGUCUGUGUAAACG
rnacentral:rRNA from 1 species